CUGCUUGAGCAAAGGCCAGCAGGCUGGUGAGGCUAACAGGGGGUCUCGGAUUAUGCAAAAUCGCACUUAGCCCUUAGUAAGUUUAUUACUUCUCCACCUGCCAUGUGAUCUCCAUGAAUGCAGUGGGCCCUGCUUUAGAAGAAGGGCAAAAGAAGGUCUAGAGUAAGAAUGACAUAAAAUGAAAAAAGCAUCAAUGUGAGUUUCAAAUGUGGCAAGAAAAGAAGGGCUGCUGGUUAUGAUUGCCUGAGUUCAGGAUUUCAUGUUGGAAGGACAGUUAAAUGUAAACUUAUUUUCUUAAUUCCAAGAAGUAUUUCUUCUUGGGAAAUUUUCAAUCAAGGAGUUUGUUGAAAAGAAAUAUGCUUCGUGAGUCAACUGCAGUCUCUUCUCUACAUUAGUCUUAAGACUACUAGCAGAAUAGAAGCAAAUUAAAGUGAAGGCUUAUAUACAGCACAAGAAAACAAAGACAUGGAGUUUUGAGGAGUAAAGGUAGCAUGGUGUCGGCCAUGGGU
rnacentral:lncRNA from 1 species